rnacentral:tRNA from 3 species
GCGAAGGUGGCGGAAUUGGUAGACGCGCUAGCUUCAGGUGUUAGUGUCUUACGGACGUGGGGGUUCAAGUCCCCCCCCUCGCACCA